rnacentral:rRNA from 1 species
UAGUCCACGCCCUAAACGAUGCUUACUCGAUGUUUGUAUUUAUAUGAGCAUCCAAGGGAAACCGUUAAGUAAGCCACCUGGGGAGUACGUUCGCAAGAAUGAAACUCAAAGGAAUUGACGGGGGUCCGCACAAGCGGCGGAGCAUGUGGCUUAAUUCGAUGAUACGCGAGGAACCUUACCUAGGCUCUAAUGUUAGCGCUAUCUGGUGAAAGCCGGAGUUCCUUCGGGACGCGAAACAAGGUGCUGCAUGGUUGUCGUCAGCUCGUGCCGUGAGGUGUUGGGUUAAGUCCCGCAACGAGCGCAACCCCUAUUGUUAGUUGCCAUCAGGUUAAGCUGGGGACUCUAGCAAGACUGCCGGCGUAAGCCGCGAGGAAGGUGGGGAGUGACGUCAAAUCAAUCAUGGCCUUUAUGCCUAGGCGACGACACGUGCUACAAUAGGUAGCGAUACAGAGGGUUGCGAAGCGCGACGGUGGAGCGUAAUCUACNAAAGUACAUCCAUUACGGAUCGGU